CCUACGGGUGGCAGCAGUGAGGAAUAUUGGUCAAUGGGCGCUAGCCUGAACCAGCCAAGUAGCGUGAAGGAUGACUGCCCUCUGGGUUGUAAACUUCUUUUACAUGGGAAUAAUGUGCAGUAUGUAUACUGCUUUGCAUCUACCUUAUGAAUACGGAUCGGCUAACUCCGUGCCAGCAGCCGCGGUAAUUCGGUGGGUCCGAGCUUUAUCCGGAUUUAUUGGGUUUAAAGGGAGCGUAGGCGGGUUGUUAAGUCAGGUGUGAAAGUUUGCGGCUCAACCGUGAAAUUGCAGUUGAUACUGGCAUCCUUGAGUGCAGUAGAGGUAGGCGGAAUUCGUGGUGUAGCGGUGAAAUGCUUAGAUAUCACGAAGAACACCGAUGGCGAAGGCAGCCUGCUGGACUGUAACUGACGCUGAGGCUCGAAAGUGUGGGGAGCAAACAGGAUUAGAUACCCCUGUAGUC
rnacentral:rRNA from 1 species